AGGAUUAUAUUCCAACGUAUCUACAAGAUAUCUACAGUCACUCUCCAUUAAGGAAGUGAGGAGAGCAGCAUACCUUGAGGGUGAAGAAGAUAUGUAAAUACAGGUGUCUUCUUUUGGACACUGGGGCUGGAACGACGAAACACAAAGCCUGAAGUUCACGAGGUGAAGCAGAUUGUUUUUUAUUACAUUUCUGUUCGACAGUCAUUUGAUAUGUAAUUCUGUUGCUUGUCUGUUUAGCAUUUCCUUCAUUUUUGUUGUGUGCAGUUUUGAACCCCGAGAAAUACAAGAAUAAAAAUAAAACGACGAAGACAUCUACAUAGCCUACCAAGAGCAGCUCAGAAAACAUCUGAAACAUAUUUUCACUGGUUCAUGUGGUUGGUUAGGAAAUAAUUAUGGCUUAAUAACUUUCUCUUGGCAAGACUUUGAUGUUUUUAUUCUGAGCAACUGAUUUACGCAGUUUCAUUUCUCAAAGAAACACUGUGGGACCAGCUCAACUGAAUGCCUUCAAGACGUCAGUCAAUAAAACGCUCAUAAAAGACACAUGUCAAAAUUCAUGAUGUUAAAUGUAGGUUCUUAAUGACUCUUAGUUUGCUGCAUAAUGAAAACGAAACGAACUUUGAGAAGGCAAGGUCUUUUUCUAAGAGCAAGGAUAUUUAAGUACACCAUUAUUGUGUUACAGUGUCAGCUGUCUCUUUGUUACAAAAGGAUGAAUUCCCAAUACCUACAUGUUUUCUGUCUCUACUAAAUGAUGAGAAUGUAAGCGAGAGAGGCAGAAAAAGGCAGAAACAUUUGUUAAUGUGGAGAUGGGCAAAAGCAGCUUGCCCUGAGUCAUGCCAUGCUUCUGCUAGGGAAGGGUCUCAGGGUUGUCUCUCUUUUUAUUGUAGGUUUUGCAGUUGUCUCUUUUGAACUACUGACAUCUUGUGGGCAUUCACUGUAAGGGUAUUGCAGGUAACAAUUCCUGAACUAAUCACAAAAUAAACAAGAAAAUUUAACAGAGCCAUCACAAUUUAUUAAAAUAUUGAUACAUUGUCUUCAAGGAUUAAAUCAAUAAAAUAGAAGGAUUUUGGCAAUGUGGCUUCAUUUAGCCGGUAAUUUUAUUUAAUUACUACCACCCUAAAGAGGUUUAUAUAAGGGGUGUGUAACUGUAGAAAUAAAUGUUUCAGACAACUGCCCCAACAGCGAUGAC